CCUACGGGAGGCAGCAGUGGGGAAUAUUGGGCAAUGGGCGCAAGCCUGACCCAGCGACGCCGCGUGAGGGAAGACGGUCUUCGGAUUGUAAACCUCUUUCAGCAGGGAAGACAAAAGGACGGUACCUGCAGAAUAAGCCACGGCUAACUACGUGCCAGCAGCCGCGGUAAUACGUAGGUGGCAAGCGUUAUCCGGAAUUACUGGGUGUAAAGGGUGUGUAGGCGGUAUGUCAAGUCAAGGGUGAAAUCCCCGCGCUCAACGUGGGAACUGCCUUUGAAACUGGCAAACUGGAGUGUGUUAGAGGCUAGUGGAAUUCCAGGUGUAGGAGUGAAAUGCGUAGAUAUCUGGAGGAACAUCAGUGGCGAAGGCGACUAUCUGGCACAUAACUGACGCUGAGGAGCGAAAGCGUGGGUAGCAAACAGGAUUAGAUACCCCUGUAGUC
rnacentral:rRNA from 1 species